rnacentral:rRNA from 1 species
CACGAACGCUGGCGGCAGGCUUAACACAUGCAAGUCGAGCGCCCCGCAAGGGGAGCGGCAGACGGGUGAGUAACGCGUGGGUAUCUACCCAUCACUACGGAAUAACGCAUGGAAACGUGUGCUAAUACCGUAUACGUCCUUCGGGAGAAAGAUUUAUCGGAGAUGGAUGAGCCCGCGUUGGAUUAGCUAGUUGGUGGGGUAAAGGCCUACCAAGGCGACGAUCCAUAGCUGGUCUGAGAGGAUGAUCAGCCACACUGGGACUGAGACACGGCCCAGACUCCGACGGGAGGCAGCAGUGGGGAAUAUUGGACAAUGGGCGCAAGCCUGAUCCAGCCAUGCCGCGUGAGUGAUGAAGGCCCUAGGGUUGUAAAGCUCUUUCACCGGUGAAGAUAAUGACGGUAACCGGAGAAGAAGCCCCGGCUAACUUCGUGCCAGCCGCCGCGGUAACAC